rnacentral:ribozyme from 1 species
GAAAAGAGGAGAAAUGGAAAAAUGAAUUGAGUGCAAAAAAAGCACAAACGCAAUUUAAAUAAGGCUAUCCAUAUUUCGCGCCCAUCCCUCUUAUUUGUUUGUUCACCUUCUCACUCUUCCCUCUGCCA